UACGAAGGGGGCUAGCGUUGUUCGGAAUCACUGGGCGUAAAGCGCACGUAGGCGGAUCUUUAAGUCAGGGGUGAAAUCCCGGGGCUCAACCUCGGAACUGCCUUUGAUACUGGGGAUCUCGAGUCCGGGAGAGGUGAGUGGAAUUGCGAGUGUAGAGGUGAAAUUCGUAGAUAUUCGGAAGAACACCAGUGGCGAAGGCGGCUCACUGGUCCGGUACUGACGCUGAUGUGCGAAAGCGUGGGGAGCAAACAGG
rnacentral:rRNA from 1 species